rnacentral:rRNA from 1 species
AAUGAACGCUGGCGGCAUGCCUAACACAUGCAAGUCGAACGAAGGCAUCGGCCGUAGUGGCGCACGGGUGCGUAACGCGUGGGAAUAUGCACAUGGGUUUGGAAUAACAGUUAGAAAUGACUGAUAAUACCGGAUGGUGUCGUAAGACCAAAGAUUUAUCGCACAAGGAUGAGCCCGCGUAGGAUUCGCUAGUUGGUAGGGUAAAGGCCUACCAAGGCGACGAUCCUUAGCUGGUCUGAGAGGAUGAUCAGCCACACUGGGACUGAGACACGGCCCAGACUCCUACGGGAGGCAGCAGUGGGGAAUAUUGGAAAGUGGGCGAAAGGCUGAACCAGCAAUGCCGCGUGAGUGAUGAAGGCCUUAGAGUUGUAAAGCUCUUUUACCCGGGAUGAUAAUGACAGUACCGGGAGAAUAAGCCCCGGCUAACUUCGUG